rnacentral:rRNA from 1 species
UACUCUUGACAUCCAGCGAAUCCUUUAGAGAUGGAGGGGUGCCUUCGGGAGCGCUGAGACAGGUGCUGCAUGGCUGUCGUCAGCUCGUGUUGUGAAAUGUUGGGUUAAGUCCCGCAACGAGCGCAACCCUUAUCCUUGUUUGCCAGCACGUAAUGGUGGGAACUCCAGGGAGACUGCCGGUGAUAAACCGGAGGAAGGUGGGGACGACGUCAAGUCAUCAUGGCCCUUACGAGUAGGGCUACACACGUGCUACAAUGGCAGAUACAGAGGGCAGCGAAGCUGCGAAGUGGAGCGAAUCCCUUAAAGUCUGUCGUAGUCCGGAUUGGAGUCUGCAACUCGACUCCAUGAAGUCGGAAUCGCUAGUAAUCGUGGAUCAAAAUGCCACGGUGAAUACGUUCCCGGGUCUUGAACACCCCGA